rnacentral:rRNA from 1 species
ACGGGAGGCAGCAGUAGGGAAUCUUCCACAAUGGGCGAAAGUCUGACGGAGCGACGCCGCGUGGAUGAUGAAGGCCGGAAGGUUGUAAAAUCCUUUUAUAACUGAGGAAUAAGUAAGGUGAGAGAAACGCCUUAUGGUGACUGUAGGUUAUGAAUAAGCAACGGCUAAUUACGUGCCAGCAGCCGCGGUAACACGUAAGUUGCGAGCGUUGUUCGGAAUUAUUGGGCGUAAAGGGCAUGUAGGCGGUUUUGCAAGCUUGGUGUGAAAUCCCGGAGCUUAACUCCGGAAUUGCGUUGAGAACUGCAUAACUAGAGUCACUGAGGGGCAAUCAGAAUUCCUGGUGUAGGGGUGAAAUCUGUAGAUAUCAGGAAGAAUACCAAUGGCGAAGGCAGGUUACCAGCAGAUGACUGACGCUGAGGUGCGAAGGUGCGGGGAGCAAACAGGAUUAGAUACCCUGGUA